rnacentral:rRNA from 1 species
AGCGAACGCUGGCGGCAGGCUUAACACAUGCAAGUCGAGCGGGCAUCUUCGGAUGUCAGCGGCAGACGGGUGAGUAACACGUGGGAACGUACCCUUCGGUUCGGAACAACUCUGGGAAACUGGAGCUAAUACCGGAUACGCCCUUAUGGGGAAAGGUUUACUGCCGAAGGAUCGGCCCGCGUCUGAUUAGCUAGUUGGUGGGGUAACGGCCUACCAAGGCGACGAUCAGUAGCUGGUCUGAGAGGAUGAUCAGCCACACUGGGACUGAGACACGGCCCAGACUCCUACGGGAGGCAGCAGUGGGGAAUAUUGGACAAUGGGCGCAAGCCUGAUCCAGCCAUGCCGCGUGAGUGAUGAAGGCCUUAGGGUUGUAAAGCUCUUUUGUCCGGGACGAUAAUGACGUUACCGGAAGAAUAAGCCCCGGCUAACUUCGUG